ACGCGACUUCUACCCUGAGGGUCUCACUUUUCAGUGGACUGAUGCCAGUGGUGGCAACCUGAACUCUGAACAAUAUCCUGCGGCUAUGAAAGACAACAAAUAUACAGAAGUCAGUUUGGUCAAGGUGUCAAAAUCAGACUGGGAGUCUGGGAAGUUUUUAAAAUGUUCUGUGACUCCCCCUGGAAAUCCCGAAAGUGUGAAAUUGGAAAAGAAGACCACACUUCCUCCAAAGAUAACUUUGUUAGCAGCACCAGUCGGAGACACUCAGGCACUGGUGUGUACAACUGAGAAUUUACCAUCGAAAGAAUUGUCAGUUAAAUGGAAAAAGAGUGAAGACUAUAUAACUGACUUCACUAGUUGGGACCCCAAAAUCAGUGGAGAGGUAUAUACAGCUGUCAGUGUCCUGAAGGUCAAGAACACAGACUGGGACAGUGAAGCUGUUUACACAUGCGAGAUGACGCACCAAGGAACAACAUAUAUUAAAAAGGCCUCUAAAGCUACUAUCACAAUGACACUGAGCAAAUCAAGUCCCAAAGAAAUCUUUAACAACAACCAGGCGAAGUUGCAGUGUGUCAUUACUGGAAAGGAACAGGACACUGUAAAUGAUGUUCAGAUCACUUGGCAAAUCAAUGGAAAAAGUGUGACCGACAAAGUUGAAACUACAGUGUCUGGAAGCAGCAAAAUCAGCACAAUGACUCAAAAUCGGAGUGAGUGGCAGAAAGUCAAAAGAGUGCGCUGCUCUGCCAUAAAAGACGAUAUGAUGCCAGUUAUUCAGGAUCUGACCGUCAACACAGGAGACGGGAGCGAGCCAAAAGUGACUGUCCACAUCCUCCCAAAGGAAGACAUCAGCGAAGCAGACUCAUCUGCAAUCACUCUGGUGUGUCUGGUCUCCAGUUCUGUGCUGCAGGAUUACUACAUCACCUGGUCAGAAGAUAAUGGAAAUACCGCCGGCACAUACAUUGAUGGCGUUAACUUCCCCCCGCAAAAGACCCAAAAUGGCUACUCAGUUACAAGUAUUUACACCACCACCAAAGAAAAGUGGGACGGCGCCACCAUGUUCUCCUGCAACGUCUGGCCUGCUGUGGGCGAAAACCCUAUGAAAACCCAUAACGUGUCUAAGUUCCAGUGUGGCACCAAGGAAAAUUGUCUUCUAGAGUCAAACCUGAGAUUUGCUUAUAGCUGCACAGACGACGUCACUAAGGAAGAUGAGUACAGCAGCCUUUGGUCUACAACCUCCUCCUUCAUAUUCCUCUUCAUAUGCUCUCUACUCUAUAACAUGAUAAUCAGCUUGGUCAAGAUGAAGGAAACAUAAAGGAUGAGAUGGACGAAAAGCACUGAUGACUACAGGUCGGAAUUCUUUGUCUGUUUUUAAUCUAGUUUUAAAAACAUGUUUAAACAUGUUAAUAUAAGAUAAGAAGGUAAUAAUCUGCUAUAUAUUUGCUGACUUAAAUGGUCAUCAGACAGAAUGAUUUCAUAUGUUAUUGAAAGUGGAUUUAUGCGGAAAAAUAGACUUGCAAUUCUUAAUUAUUUAUAUUUUUUCCUGCAUUGGGUACUGAUGUGACAUUAUACAGUGGUUAUUUGAUUACUUUUCUUAAACACUUUGUGUGGUUAAAAUGUGUUUGCUCAUUAUCAUGUAAAUCACAAAUGGCAAUAUUGUAGAAAUAUAUAUAUUCUGUAUGCCACUUUGCAUUGGACGGUAUAAAUAUAAAUAUUUACUUUUCAUGUUUGGUCA